rnacentral:misc_RNA from 1 species
UUUCCGUAGGUGAACCCGCGGAAGGAUCAUUAUUGGAUUUUGAAACUUCAGGCUGCUGCUGGCUCUCCUCGGAGGGCAUGUGCACGCUUGUUGUCCAUUAUUUCUCCCACUGUGCACAAAUUGUAGACCUUUCAGUAGGCCUAUGUUGUUUUUCACAAUCUCUGAAUGUAAUAGAAUGGUUUUGAAUCUUGGGAAAUACAAUACAACUUUCAGCAACGGAUCUCUUGGCUCUCGCAUCGAUGCAGAACGCAGC